rnacentral:rRNA from 1 species
UACGAAGGGGGCUAGCGUUGCUCGGAAUCACUGGGCGUAAAGCGCACGUAGGCGGACUCUUAAGUCGGUGGUGAAAUCCUGGAGCUCAACUCCAGAACUGCCUUCGAUACUGGGAGUCUCGAGUCCGAGAGAGGUGAGUGGAACUGCGAGUGUAGAGGUGAAAUUCGUAGAUAUUCGCAAGAACACCAGUGGCGAAGGCGGCUCACUGGCGCGGUACUGACGCUGAGGUGCGAAAGCGUGGGGAGCAAACAGG